GACGAACGCUGGCGGCGUGCCUAAUACAUGCAAGUCGAACGGAGCGGCGGACGGGUGAGUAAUGCCUAGGAAUCUGCCAGGUAGUGGGGGAUAACGUCCGGAAACGGGCGCUAAUACCGCAUACUAUCACAUGAGUCUUGGGCGGAUUCGCGAGUUGGUGGGGGAAAGGCCUACCAAGGCGACGAGCGUUAACUGGUCUGAGAGGAUGAUGAGUCACACGGGAACUGAGACACGGUCCAGACUCCUACGGGAGGAAGCAGUGGGGAAUAUUGGACAAUGGGCGAAAGCCUGAUGCAGCCAUGCCGCGUGUGUGAAGAAGGUCUUCGGGUUGUAAAGCACUUUAAGCUGGGAGGCGUUACCAGAAGAAUAAGCACCGGCUAACUACGUGCCAGCAGCCGCGGUAAUAC
rnacentral:rRNA from 1 species